rnacentral:rRNA from 1 species
GAUGAACGCUGGCGGCGUGCCUAAUACAUGCAAGUCGAGCGAACAGAUGAGGAGCUUGCUCCUCUGACGUUAGCGGCGGACGGGUGAGUAACACGUGGAUAACCUACCUAUAAGACUGGGAUAACUUCGGGAAACCGGAGCUAAUACCGGAUAAUAUAUUGAACCGCAUGGUUCAAUAGUGAAUGACGGUUUUGCUGUCACUUAUAGAUGGAUCCGCGCCGCAUUAGCUAGUUGGUAAGGUAACGGCUUACCAAGGCAACGAUGCGUAGCCGACCUGAGAGGGUGAUCAGCCACACUGGAACUGAGACACGGUCCAGACUCCUACGGGAGGCAGCAGUAGGGAAUCUUCCGCAAUGGGCGAAAGCCUGACGGAGCAACGCCGCGUGAGUGAUGAAGGUCUUCGGAUCGUAAAACUCUGUUAUUAGGGAAGAACAACUGUGUAAGUAACUAUGCACGUCUUGACGGUACCUAAUCAGGAAGCAACGGCUAACUACGUG